ACCCAGGCUGGAGUGCAAUGGUGCAAUCUCGGCUUACUGCAACCUCUGCCUCCCGGGUUCAAGUGCUUCUCCUGCCUCAGCCUCCUGAGUAGCUGGGACUACAAGCUCAUACCACCACACCUGGCUAAUUUUUGUAUUUUUAGUAAAGAUGGGGUUUCACCAUGUUGGCCAGGCUGGUCUCGAUCUCCUGACUCAGGUGAUCUGCCCGCCUUCGACUCACAAAGUGCUGGGAUUACAGGUGUGAGCCACCACACCUGGCCAGCCUGUGAGAGCUUUAAACCAUGAGAUAGACAUAUGGUUUUGCAAAAGUUUCUACAUAAAUCAGAAUGGUUCCCAGAACAGAAAGGCUCCUCUGUCACUUUUUUUAUCUGGUUGCUUAACCAUAAGAUGCCAACCCAAUUAACAGUCACACCCAUAUUUGCAUUAUAUCUGUUUCAUAUGUUCCGUGUAACUGCCUCCUUUCAAAGUGUUGGUAUAUUUUUCAAGUCAACUGGAACCAAAAGUAUAGAGAAACUGAAUGCAAGCCAGCUUUCUGCAUAUGUAACAGUGUAAGAAUCCAGGUUGUAUAGAUGGGUUUUUGUUUGACACAGAUGUUUCUCCCAGUAAAGAGAGGAUAAGGAGCUGGAACUCGUGGCACAGUUCCCUACAAAAUAAUUAAUUGAUCAUGUCUACUAAUUAAAAUUUCUUUUUCUGUACUAUUGCAGAUACCUGGUUUUGGCUGGGCAAGGUGGCUCACACCUAUAAUCCCAACAUUUUGGGAGGCUCACUUGAGGUGGGAGGCUCACUUGAGCCCAGGAGUUUCAGAGCAACCCGGGCAACAAAGUGAGAUCCCAUCUGUACAAAAAAUUAAAAAAUUAGCUGGGCAUGGUGGCACAUACCUCUAGUCCAGCUAUUCUGGAAGCUUAGGUAGAAGGAUCACUUGAGCCUGAGAGAUCAAGGCCGCAGUAUGCUGUAAUUGCACCACUGCACUCCACCCUGGGUGACAGAGCAAAACCCUGUCUCAAAAAAAAAAAAAAAGAGACACCUGGCUUUACUGUGUAUGCUGUACCUCAGGGCAAGUUUUCCCUUUGUCUUCUAAUAGACACUUUUUGGAUCCAGAAAUUGUUCUCUGCAAUUUCUUUACUUAAACAUAAUUAUCAGCCUGUAUGACCUCUGUGGUCUGACUACUUUGAAAUUAAGGGAGAAGGCUGGGCACGGUGGCUCACUCCUGUAAUCCCAGCACUUUGGGAGGCUGAGGUGGGCGGAUCACUUGAGCCCAGGAGUUCGAGGCAACAUGACAAGACCCUGUCUCGACAAAAAAACAAAAAACUUAGCCAGACAUGGUGACACACGUUUAUGGUCCCAGCUACUCAAGAGGCUGAGGCAGGGGGAUUGCUUGAGCCCAGGAGGGGCUCAAGGUCGGCCCAGGAGGUCAAGACCCAGGCGAUCAAGGCCCAGGAGGUCAAGACUGCAGUGAGCUGUGCUCAUGCCCCACUGCACUCCAGCCCAGUCAUCAGAGCAAAACCUUGUCUCAAAAAAAAGUAAAGAAAGACAUGUUUAUUAUAUGGUAGUUUGAAAAAUUACAAAAAAAAGAGAUAAAUCAUGGCCGGGUGCGAUGGUUCACGCCUGUAAUCCCAGUACUUUGGGAGGCCGAGGCAGGUGGUUCACCUGAGGUCAGGAGUUCGAGACCAACCUGGCCAACAUGGUGAAACCCCAUCUCUACUAAAACUACAAAAAAAUUAGCUGGGUGUGGUGGCAUGUGCCUGUAGUCCCAGGUACUUGGGAGGCUGAGGCACGAGAAUUGCUUGAACCCGGGAGGCAGAGGUUGCAGUGAGCCAAGAUCACAACACUGCACUCCAGCCUGGGUGACAAGAGUGAGACUC
rnacentral:lncRNA from 10 species